UUUGUGACCUGGUCCACUAACU
rnacentral:miRNA from 1 species